GUGGGGAAUAUUGCACAAUGGGGGAAACCCUGAUGCAGCGACGCCGCGUGAGCGAAGAAGUAUUUCGGUAUGUAAAGCUCUAUCAGCAGGGAAGAAGAAUGACGGUACCUGACUAAGAAGCACCGGCUAAAUACGUGCCAGCAGCCGCGGUAAUACGUAUGGUGCAAGCGUUAUCCGGAUUUACUGGGUGUAAAGGGAGCGCAGACGGCACUGCAAGUCUGAAGUGAAAGCCCGGGGCUCAACCCCGGGACUGCUUUGGAAACUGUAGAGCUAGAGUGCUGGAGAGGCAAGCGGAAUUCCUAGUGUAGCGGUGAAAUGCGUAGAUAUUAGGAAGAACACCAGUGGCGAAGGCGGCUUGCUGGACAGUAACUGACGUUCAGGCUCGAAAGCGUGGGGAGCAAACAGGAUUAGAAACCCUGGUAGUCC
rnacentral:rRNA from 1 species